UGGGGGAUAUUGCACAAUGGGCGAAAGCCUGAUGCAGCGACGCCGCGUGGGGGAUGAAGGCUUUCGGGUUGUAAACCUCUUUCGCUAUCGAACAAGGCCCGCUUAGGGUGGGUUGAGGGUAGGUGGAGAAGAAGCGCCGGCUAACUACGUGCCAGCAGCCGCGGUAAUACGUAGGGCGCGAGCGUUGUCCGGAAUUAUUGGGCGUAAAGGGCUUGUAGGCGGCUUGUUGCGCCUGCUGUGAAAACGCGGGGCUUAACUUCGCGCGUGCAGUGGGUACGGGCAGGCUUGAGUGUGGUAGGGGUGACUGGAAUUCCAGGUGUAGCGGUGGAAUGCGCAGAUAUCUGGAGGAACAACGAUGGCGAAGGCAGGGCACUGGGCCAUUACUGACGCUGAGGAGCGAAAGCAUGGGUAGCGAACAGG
rnacentral:rRNA from 1 species